CAGUGUUUAUGUGGUAUUAUCCCACUUGCCACAAAUGUCAGUGUAAUGGGGAAACAGCGCCCCCCCCUCUCGGUGUGGCUGGUUAGGGGAGGCUGGCUGCAGUAAUCGCUGCCAGUCUGCCGUAGCCAUACGAGAGUGUGCUGUGCGGAGUGGUGUGUGGCGAGCCUGUGCACUGAUAAAGAACACCAUUGUUUCCAUUCAGGAAAUAAAGUGGCAUCGAUCAGAGACUCCUUGUUUUCUUAAAACACAACACAACGCAGAGUCGAGGAGUCUGUUUGGGCCGAACUGUUGCAGCAGGAUGAAGCAGAAACCGGUUACACUGGUGCCGUGACCCCAGCUCCUGCAUUCCUGCGACCGCAACGGUGCUGUCUACUUCCUGGAAGGUGGAAAAGUCGCGGGAGACUGGCUUUUCUUAGUCCCGCCAUUUUCUGCGUUCUUUAGAGACAUC